GCUCAGGGUGGCGGCGACCGAGCCGGGAGCUGAGCGCGCUGUGCGCGGCCGAGCCCCGAGUGCGCCCGCGGCCAUGCUUCCCGCGGCGGCGCCGGGCGCCUGAGCCCCGGAACGCGCGAGCACUGGAGGCGGCCGGCCGGCGGUGCGGGCGCUUCGGAGAGGCCGACAGAAGCUACCCUGAGUUAACUACUUGAUUGGAUAAUCCACCUGCUAUUAGAUUUAACAAAAGCCUGACUUUGCAGCAACCUUCAGGACAGUAAAAUACUAAAGCUUGUUUAUGUUUAGAAUAGAUGCCAGUAGGAUGCCCUUAGUUCAAUUAAAUUUUAUGAUGUAGUUAGCAAAGGUUGUUAUUUUCUUUCAGAUUUAUUGAAAUGUGACUUUUCCCCUCUGCAAUGGCACUUUAGUUUUUAUGUUGUAUUUUUACACCACAAUUAUAUUCCUGGUGAUCUCUGUGGCUUUUGAUAUCCAGCUAGAGGGGAGGUGCUAUCUGACAGUCAUCAGUUUGCUGCUGAGUUGCAGCAGUAAUUUUGGCAGGGAAGUAUUCUAUAUAAACAUGGAAAUAGGGGCAAUUGCUUUUUGUUGAGCUUUUGCUAAACUUGAACUUAUUCUCCUUACUAUCUUCUUUUAUACUGAAAUGACUCCAAGAUGGUAAGCCUGGAAAUCUUUGCAGCAGAUGAAAUGUUUGCAGAAAAGAGAGAAGAAAAAAAAAUGGCAAUUUGAUUGGAGGCAUUAUUAAGUCUGACUGGCCAAAUGAAGAGAUUUAAAAGCAUAAAUGAAAAGCCUUUGCCAAGCAGGGGUUGUCUGUGUCCAUUACUUUCUCCCAAAGUAACGAAAUUAGUCACUUAGUCUUUGGACCCCUAACAGCUAUGUCUGAACACAGGUUCGAAAGCAUCUAUUAUGAUGCCCUGGAAAGGAAGAGGGCUGAGCAGAGAGGGCAUCUCAUUCCGCAGAGCUGUUCAGCUGCUGGACCAUCUGGAUGGGAAUUAAAAGGCCUGGGCUAGGGGCUCUGGCAUUGUGCUUAUUUGUUAUUUGCUUUUCACUUGCCAGGCUUUGUCCCCUUUUCACUCCCUCCAGCCCCGAACAGACAUCCACUUUGGCUGGGGUACCAUCCUCACAAGCUCCUUUCUAUACCAUGGAUGCUGGGAAGUUCCUAAGUUCACACAGCCACUUCAUACUUCCCUUCUGUUGGGAUUGUCAUCAUUCCAGCCAUACCUCUACCUACUCCUUUUGCAGUCCUGGUGGCAUUGUGAUUUCCUCAGCUGGGGUUGUAAGUAGAACACAACACAGAUCUGUAACAGCCAUCCCGUCAGAGCGUGUGGCAUUUUGGCAGCCUUGUUUUGAGUUAUUUGAAAGGAAAAUGCUCUGAAUAAUUGUCAUUAUGGGUGGUUAUUGGGUGAUAAAUAUUUUGAGUAAUGGCUCUGUGCAUCUUUUUCUUAUUUAACUAUCCCUAGUUAGAACUCCAAAGUAUUGCCUAUACUGAUCCUUUUACUCCAAAGGAACCAUAAGGGCUCUGGACCAUUUGACAGGAAGGCCCAGAUUUAUGGCAGUCUUCGUGAACCUGGAAUUGUUCUUUGCAAUUUCAGGGAGGAUUUAUCACUCA